rnacentral:rRNA from 1 species
AUUGAACGCUGGCGGCAGGCCUAACACAUGCAAGUCGCGCGAGCGGCGGACGGGUGAGUACUGUAUGUGGAUCUGCCCGAUAGAGGGGGAUACCUACUGGAAACGGUGGCUAAUACCUCAUACUAUCGUAUGAACCCAUCUGGGAUUAGGUAGUAGGUGGGGUAAAGGCUCACCUAGGCGACGCUCUAUAGCUGGGCUGAGAGGAUGAUCAGCCACACUGGGACGGAGACACGGCCCAGACUCCUACGGGAGGCAGCAGUGGGGAAUAUUGCACAAUGGGCGCAAGCCUGAUGCAGCCAUGCCGCGUGUAUGAAGAAGGCCUUAGGGUUGUAAAGUACUUUCAGCGGGGAGGCGUUACCCGCAGAAGAAGCACCGGCUAACUCCGUGCCAGCAGCCGCGGUAAUUC